rnacentral:rRNA from 1 species
ACGAACGCUGGCGGCGUGGAUAAGACAUGCAAGUCGAACGGGCCCCGAAGUUCCCGCAAGGGAGUUUCGGGGUUAGUGGCGAACGGGUGCGUAACACGUGGGCAAUCUGCCGAGAAGUGGGGGAUAGCUCGCCGAAAGGCGAAUUAAUACCGCAUGUGAUUAGCUAAGACAUCUUAGCGACAUCAAAGGUGGCGCAAGCUACCGCUUUUUGUAGGAGCCCGCGGCCUAUCAGCUAGNGGUGAGGUAACGGCUCCCCAAGGCGAUGACGGGUAGCUGGUCUGAGAGGACGGCCAGCCACACUGGCACUGACACACGGGCCAGACUCCUACGGGAGGCAGCAGUGGGGAAUUUUGGGCAAUGGGCGCAAGCCUGACCCAGCAACGCCGCGUGAGGGAGGAAAUCCUUCGGGAUGUAAACCUCACAAGCAAGGGAAAGAGAGCUCCGGACCGAAUAAGUUCGGAGUCCG